rnacentral:rRNA from 1 species
UACGUAGGGGGCAAGCGUUAUCCGGAAUCACUGGGCGUAAAGGGUGCGUAGGCGGUCUUACAAGUCAGGGGUGAAAGGCUACGGCUCAACCGUAGUAAGCCUUUGAAACUGUAGGACUUGAGUGCAGGAGAGGAAAGUGGAAUUCCUAGUGUAGCGGUGAAAUGCGUAGAUAUUAGGAGGAACACCAGUGGCGAAGGCGACUUUCUGGACUGUAACUGACGCUGAGGCACGAAAGUGGGGGGAGC